CAGUCGCCGCGGUAACACGAAGGGUGCAAGCGUUACUCGGAAUUACUGGGCGUAAAGCGUGCGUAGGUGGUGGUUUAAGUCCGUUGUGAAAGCCCUGGGCUCAACCUGGGAAUUGCAGUGGAUACUGGGUCACUAGAGUGUGGUAGAGGAUAGUGGAAUUUCCGGUGUAGCAGUGAAAUGCGUAGAGAUCGGAAGGAACAUCUGUGGCGAGGGCGGCUAUCUGGGCCAACACUGACACUGAGGCACGAAAGCGUGGGGAGCAAACAGGAUUAGAUACCCCCGUAGUCCCUGUCUCUUAUAC
rnacentral:rRNA from 1 species